UACAGAGGUCUCAAGCGUUGUUCGGAUUCAUUGGGCGUAAAGGGUGCGUAGGUGGCGGGGUAAGUCAGGUGUGAAAUCUCGGGGCUCAACCCCGAAACUGCACUUGAUACUGCCUUGCUCGAGUACUGGAGAGGAGAUUGGAAUUUACGGUGUAGCAGUGAAAUGCGUAGAUAUCGUAAGGAAGACCAGUGGCGAAGGCGAAUCUCUGGACAGUAACUGACGCUGAGGAGCGAAAGCGUGGGGAGCGAACAGG
rnacentral:rRNA from 1 species